rnacentral:sRNA from 1 species
CAGGUCAGGGGUGAAGCUCUGUCUGAAGAGGAAAUCUGGUCCCUCCUCUUCCUGGCCGCUGAGCAGCUCCUGGAAGACCUCCGCAACGAUUCCUCGGACUAUGUGGUCUGCCCCUGGUCAGCCCUGCUUUCUGCGGCUGGAAGCCUUUCUUUCCAAGGCCGUGUUUCUCACAUAGAGGCUGCUCCUUUCAAGGCCCCUGAACUGCUACAGGGACAGAGUGAGGAUGAGCAGCCUGAUGCGUCUCAGAUGCAUGUCUAUUCUUUAGGAAUGACCCUCUACUGGUCAGCAGGGUUUCAUGUUCCGCCACAUCAGCCCCUGCAGCUCUGCGAGCCCCUGCGCUCCAUCCUGCUGACCAUGUGUGAAGACCAGCCUCACAGGCGGUGCACGUUGCAGUCGGUUCUGGAAGCUUGUCGGGUUCAUGAGAAAGAAGUGUCUGUCUACCCAGCCCCUGCUGGUCUCCACAUCAGAAGGCUGGUUGGCUUGGUUCUGGGUACCAUUUCUGAGGUCAGUAGAGAACCGUGCUUUUCAAGCAGUAGCCGCUGGUCAUGCGUGGCUAUUAAAAUUUGAAUUAGUUAUAUUAUCAUUAACUAAAAUAAAAUAAAAAAUUAAAUUAAUCAGU